AUUGAACGCUGGCGGCAUGCCUUACACAUGCAAGUCGAACGGCAGCGCGGGGCAACCUGGCGGCGAGUGGCGAACGGGUGAGUAAUAUAUCGGAACGUGCCCUGGAGUGGGGGAUAACGUAGCGAAAGUUACGCUAAUACCGCAUACGAUCCAAGGAUGAAAGCAGGGGACCUUCGUGCCUUGUGCUCCUGGAGCGGCCGAUAUCUGAUUAGCUAGUUGGUGGGGUAAAAGCCUACCAAGGCGACGAUCAGUAGCUGGUCUGAGAGGACGACCAGCCACACUGGAACUGAGACACGGUCCAGACUCCUACGGAGGCAGCAGUGGGGAAUUUUGGACAAUGGGGGGCAACCCUGAUCCAGCAAUGCCGCGUGUGUGAAGAAGGCCUUCGGUGUAAG
rnacentral:rRNA from 1 species